rnacentral:rRNA from 1 species
AGCAGCCGCGGUAAUUCCAGCUCCAAUAGUGUAUAUUAAAGUUGUUGCAGUUAAAAAGCUCGUAGUUGAAUUUCGGGAUCAACGUUUCGGUCAUGCCCUUGGAAUGUACUGAUAUUAUUGGUUUCUCACCUUCUAAAGAACCGUAACGCCAUUAAUUUGGUGUCACGGGGAAUUAGGACUGUUACCUUGAAAAAAUUAGAGUGUUUAAAGCAGGCUCACGCUUGAAUACAUUGGCAUGGAAUAAUGAAAUAGGACAUCCGAUUCUAUUUUGUUGGUUUCUAGGAUCGAUGUAAUGAUUAAUAGGGAUAGUUGGGGGCAUCAGUAUUCAAUUGUCAGAGGUGAAAUUCUUGGAUUUAUUGAAGACUAACUACUGCGAAAGCAUUUGCCAAGGAUGUUUUCAUUAACCAAGAACGAAAGUUAGGGGAUCGAAGACGAUCAGAUACCGUCGUAGUCUUAACCAUAAACUAUGCCGACUAGGGAUCGGAUGAUGUUAAUUUUUUAAUGACUCA